UGUGUGUGUGUGUGUGUGUGUGUGUGUGUGUGUGUGUAUAAUAUAUAUAUACAUACACACUAUACACACACACACACU